CACCGCGCGACAAUCUAAGUUUUUUUUAAUUUAUUUUAAAUAUAAACAAAUAUUUUUAUUGCUAGCAACACAAAUUAAUAACCAUUUUACAGUCACACAAGUUUAAUUUUCUUUCCAUCUGUCUACUACAGUAUAUAAUCAUUCAGCUGAAACUGUAUCAUGUAAACGGUGAAAUAUUGCAACGCGGCCAUAUCUCGCUCUUGCUCUUCCAUUCUACCCCGAUGACAAAAAUUACUACUAUAAUCCAGUGCAGGGAUGUUAAUUCUUUCGCUUAGUUCCGACAAAAUUGUUGAUUUAAUUUUGUGUUUAAUGAGUUAAAGUGCGACUUUCCAUUACCGCAGCAAGAAUUUCCUUUUGAUUUUUUUUAAGUUAGGUAGGGGUCUCAGUAGAACAUGUUUUAAAUAUUAAUGUGAGGAAACACCUUUGAGUCACACCAAAAAAAAUAUUUGCUUUUACGGACUUUACCCUACAUUUUUUAUUUGUAUUUCGUUUUUUUGAGCCUAAAACAAGUUUGUUUCCAUUGAUAGUACGGCGUACUAAGGGGCUCAUGCUGCCCCCCUACUUGGAAUCACUAUAGGAUUUGAGGUGGGUGCCACUUUGGGUAUAUGAAACAUUUAAGCACUAAAAUAAAAAAAAAUCAAGUAUGACAAGAAUGAACAAAACUAGGAAGAAAUGUCAAAAUCAACUAUUUUUGCGUGUUUUGUUUGUGAAAAGGUGAACUUUGAAAAGUAAUUUAAAAUAAAAAUAAAUGUUUCCGCAAUCUAAAAUUGCAAUAAUUAUUUAUUUACACAUGUCUUCCAAAUAAAAAAAAAAAAUGCGUGUCGAAAUUUGUGCUGCGGUAAUGGAAAGUUGAGCCUAAAUAUGAAAUCUAGUUUUACGUGAGGAGAAAAGAGAACAUAUUUAACACUUUUGCAUACAAAUAUUUUUGGUUGAAAAGUACCAAAAGAGCAGUACAUCUCUGGUGUUGGUGAUGGAGAACAGGAGAAGUGUUGUGUGUGUGUUGCUUGGGAUUGGGAGUUUCGGACUUUCGGUCCUACCUACGCCCGCUAUCGAUAAACCCUUCUCAUUCUCACUUCUUCUGGUGGAAUACGUACUAACUAUAUUCUAUACCUACACAAAUCUAUGUUGAAAGAUGACGAAAGUCUCGACAUCGCCAUCGACACUACAUUUUAUACCUACGUGUUCUUUUUUUUCACACACAAGGCUUGAUUUCUUUUUUCUUUCGUUCAGGAAAUACAUUUUCCAUUUCACAUCCAGCUAGUUAUCUUUUAUUAAAAAAAAAACAUUUGUCAACAAAAACAUUCACCAAAUAAGAAAAACACAAAUUUUAAAUAAAGUAUUAAAUAUUUAGCAAACAUUAAUAUUCCUUACUAACUUAACUAGUAAAAAAUUGAUUAUAUAAACGAAUGAUAUUCACUGGAAUUUUCCUAAGGCUUGCAGGUAUAUAAAGGAAGGAAAUAUAUGUAACUUUUUUCAACGGGGUUGUGUAUUUAACAAUUCUUACCUUAAGCCCAGUUUUUGUAUUUUUUUUUAAUUACGAGAGUAACGUUGAUCUUAUAAUCAACAAUAAUAAAAUUAAAAUUAUAUUAA